AUCGCUUCUCGGCCCCUUUGGCUAAGAUCCAGUGUAGUAUCUGUUCUUAUCAGUUUAAUAUCAAUCGUCCCUAUCUAAGGGACGCCAUAUUAAAUUGAUUUUUGGGUCAGGAGAUGAAUAGGGCUUGCUCCGUCCCUCCGUUUGUCGACCUGGUAUUGCAGUACUUCCGGGAGGCGGUGCACUCGCU